AGGGCGCACGGCGGAUGCCUUGGCACAGGAAGUCGAAGAAGGACGCGGCAAGCUGCGAUAAGCUCCGGGGAGGCGCAAACGGCCUUCGAUCCGGAGAUCUCCGAAUGGGGGAACCCAGCAGGGGUCAUGCCCUGCUACCCGCGCCUGAAUGAAAUAGGGCGCGAGGAGGCAACCCGGGGAACUGAAACAUCUAAGUACCCGGAGGAAGAGAAAUCAACCGAGAUUGCGGGAGUAGCGGCGAGCGAAACCGCACCAGCCCAAACCCAUGCACGUGCAAGCUUGAGGGCGUUGCUGCAUGAGGGGUUGUGGGACCGCGCAUUCCAUGGGCCUCAGACCAUGGACGCAGUUACAAAUCCGCGCGGAAGCGGAACGGCCUGGGAAGGCCGGCGGAACAGGGUGAGAGCCCCGUACGCGAAUCCGCGCGGACUGCGAGUGCGGCACCCGAGUAGCGCCGGGCACGUGAAACCCGGUGCGAACCUGGGGGGACCACCCUCCAAGGCUGAACACUCUCCUGUGACCGAUAGCGAACCAGUACCGUGAGGGAAAGGUGAAAAGCACCCCGAGAGGGGAGUGAAACAGUACCUGAAACCGUGCGCCUACAAGCAGUCGGAGCCCCCGAGCGGGGUGACGGCGUGCCUUUUGUAGAAUGAGCCAGCGAGUUGCGGUAUGCGGCGAGGUUAAGGUUUGAACCGAGCCGCAGUGAAAGCGAGCCUUUAAGAUGGCGAUAGAGUCGCAUGCUGCAGACGCGAAGCCGGGUGAGCUAUCCAUGGGCAGGCUGAAGCGGGGGUAAGACCCCGUGGAGGGCCGAACCCACUUCGGUUGAAAACGGAGGGGAUGACCCGUGGAUAGGGGUGAAAGGCCAAUCAAACCCGGAGAUAUCUCGUUCUCCCCGAAAUAGCUUUAGGGCUAGCCUCGGCCGUUCUCCGACGGCGGUAGAGCACUGGAUCGUCGAGGGGGCUUCACCGCCUACCGACACGAACCAAACUCCGAAUGCCGCCGGAUCAGAGGCCGGGAGUCAGAACAUGUGGGCUAAGCUGUGUGUUCGAGAGGGAAACAGCCCAGACCGCCCGCUAAGGUCCCCAAGUUUAUGCUGAGUGGCAAAGGAUGUGCGUUUGCCUAGACAACCAGGAUGUUGGCUUAGAAGCAGCCAUGCAUUUAAAGAGUGCGUAACAGCUCACUGGUCAAGUGGACAUGCGCCGACAAUUCACGGGGCUAAGCAUAACACCGAAGCGGCGGACUAAUCUAUAUUAGUGGUAGGGGAGCUUUCCCCGCAGCGGAGAAGCCGAGAGGGCGACCCUCGGUGGAGCGCGGGGAAGUGAGAAUGCUGGCAUGAGUAACGAGAGCGGCGCGAGAAACGCCGCCGCCGUAAGCCUAAGGGUUCCUGGGCAAGGCUAAUCCUCCCAGGGUCAGUCGGGAGCUAAGGCGAGGCCGAGAGGCGUAGCCGAUGCGCAACAGGCGGACAUUCCUGUACCGCCUGCGGACCGCUAUCACCGACGGGGUGACGGAGAAGGGUAGCCGAGCGGGGUUCUGGACGUCCCCGUGAAAGCGCGUAGGGAGCAUCGCAUGGAAAUCAGCGGCGCAUAUAUCCUGAGACGCGAGACGAAAGCUUAUGCUGAAGUCGGCGAGCCCAUGCUUCCGAGAAAAACCUCUAGGAAGGGACGCAGGCGCCCGUACCAAAACCGACACAGGUGGGCAGGUAGAGCAUACCGAGGCGAUCGGGAGAACCAUGGUUAAGGAACUCGGCAUACUGACUCCGUAACUUCGGGAGAAGGAGUGCCCCUGGCGGUGGAGGGACUAGCUCCCCGAGCGGCCGGGGGUCGCAGCGAAACGGCCCAAGCGACUGUUUAUCAAAAACACAGGACUCUGCAAAGCCGUAAGGCGACGUAUAGGGUCUGACGCCUGCCCGGUGCUGGAAGGUUACGCGGAUGGGUCAGCCGAAAGGCGAAGCUCUGAAGCCAAGCCCCAGUAAACGGCGGCCGUAACUAUAACGGUCCUAAGGUAGCGAAAUUCCUUGUCGGGUAAGUUCCGACCUGCACGAAUGGCGUAACGAUUUGGGCGCUGUCUCAACCAUGGACCCGGUGAAAUUGUAUUAUUCGUGAAGAUGCGAAUUACCUGCGGAAGGACGGAAAGACCCCGUGAACCUUUACUGCAGCUUGACAUUGAUCGUUGGCUCGGCGCGUAGAGGAUAGGCAGGAGGCUGCGAAGCCCGGGCGCCAGC
rnacentral:rRNA from 1 species